rnacentral:rRNA from 1 species
CCUACGGGAGGCUGCAGUGGGGAAUAUUGCGCAAUGGGGGAAACCCUGACGCAGCAACACCGCGUGAAUGAAGAAGGUCUUCGGAUCGUAAAGUUCUGUUAUUGGGGAAGAAAAAGACGGUACCCAAGGAGAAAGUUCCGGCUAACUACGUGCCAGCAGCCGCGGUAAUACGUAGGGAACAAGCGUUGUCCGGAUUUACUGGGCGUAAAGGGCACGCAGGCGGUUUUUUAAGUCAGAUGUGAAAGGUACCGGCUCAACCGGUGACAUGCAUUUGAAACUGAAAGACUUGAGUAUUGGAGAGGCAAGUGGAAUUCCUAGUGUAGCGGUGAAAUGCGUAGAGAUUAGGAGGAACACCAGUGGCGAAGGCGGCUUGCUGGACCGAUACUGACGCUGAGGUGCGAAAGCGUGGGGAGCAAACAGGAUUAGAUACCCGAGUAGUC